rnacentral:misc_RNA from 1 species
AACGCACAUUGCGCCCGCCAGCAUUCUGGCGGGCAUGCCUGUUCGAGCGUCAUUUCAACCCUCGACGUCCCCUGGGGACGUCGGCCUUGGGGACCGGCAGUACACCGCCGGCCCUGAAAUCGAGUGGCGGCCCGUCCGCGGCGACCUCUGCGCAGUACUCCAGCUCGCACCGGGAACCCGACGCGGCCACGCCGUAAAACACCCAACUCUGAACGUUGACCUCGGAUCAGGUAGGACUACCCGCUGAACUUAA